AGUGAACGCUGGCGGUAGGCCUAACACAUGCAAGUCGAACGGCAGCACAGUAAGAGCUUGCUCUUACGGGUGGCGAGUGGCGGGCGGGUGAUGAAUACAUCGGAAUCUACUUUUUCGUGGGGGAUAACGUAGGGAAACUUACGCUAAUACCGCAUACGACCUACGGGUGAAAGCAGGGGAUCUUCGGACCUUGCGCGAUUGAAUUAGCCGAUGUCGGAUUAGCUAGUUGGCGGGGUAAAGGCCCACCAAGGCGACGAUCCGUAGCUGGUCUGAGAGGAUGAUCAGCCACACUGGAACUGAGACACGGUCCAGACUCCUACGGGCGGCAGCAGUGGGGAAUAUUGGACAAUGGGCGCAAGCCUGAUCCAGCCAUACCGAGUGGGUGAAGAAGGCCUUCGGGUUGUAAAGCCCUUUUGUUGGGAAAGAAAAGCAGCAGGUUAAUACCCCGCUGUUCUGACGGUACCAAAAGAAUAAGCACCGGCUAACUUCGUG
rnacentral:rRNA from 1 species